rnacentral:rRNA from 1 species
CCUACGUGUGGCUGCAGUGAGGACUAUUGGUCAAUGGCCGGAAGGCUGAACCAGCCAAGCCGCGUGAAGGACGAAGGUGCCAAGCAUUGUAAACUUCUUUUGUCAAGGAACAAAAUCAGGCUCGAGAGCCUGACCGAGGGUACUUGAAGAAAAAGCAUCGGCUAACGCCGUGCCAGCAGCCGCGGUAAUACCGAGGAUGCGAGCGUUAUCCGGAUUUCUUGGGUUUAAAGGGUGCGUAGGCGGACUGUUAAGUCAGGGGUAAAAGCCCGGGGCUCAACCCAGGCGAGCCGUUGAACAUGGCUGUCUUGAGAUGUCGAGAGGUAUGCGGAAUGCGCAGUGUAGCGGUGAAAUGCUUAGAUAUUGCGCAGAACGCCGAUUGCGAAGGCAGCAUACCGGCGGCGAUCUGACGCUGAGGCACGAAAGCGUGGGUAUCGAACAGGAUUAGUUACCCGUGUAGUC